CCUUCAUUUGCACUCCCGCAUCGUGCCUUCGCUAUCUCCGCCGCCGCCGCCGCUUCGCCUUCGCUCUCUGCCGCUGGCCACCACCCUCCUCCGAUAGGCGGUCCGGUCGUCAUUUUAGUGUCGUCGACGGCGUAGGCAACCUUUUGGCUGCCUGCCAUGGCGGCAACUCCAAGAAUCUCCUCUCGCCCCACUGCCGAUUUUCCUUUGGCCGUUUCAUCCCGAUUCAAUCUGUGGCCGUCCUCCCACCACUAUUGAUACCCAAUCCGCUUGAAGCACGUCUCCAUUGUGUGUUUGUUCAUACCACAAUGUGUGCAAUAAAGCUUUGAUUUGUCGAUUUUUGAUGAACGAUUUUGGGGGUAACCAUGUGGCUGUGGUGGCUGCUGAUUGCGAACGUGUGGUGGGGCUGGUGGUCUGUUCUGAGUAGGUGGUGGUGGCUGUCAGAAUCGAGCUCCAAAGCCGGCCCCGAUUCCGGCUUCCCCUGAUUCGACGGUAAGUGUGACCGAUGGUUUCAAAACCGCGGUAAGCCCUUCUUCUUGUUUGACGAUGCCCAAAGCUUCUUCGGCUGUUGUAUCAUCCCCAAGCUUGAGGAUUUCUCUCCGGAGGCUGUCGUAUUUGUCGUUGAGGCCACCGAGAAACUGAUGUAACCUUUGAAUAUUCGUCUCUUUCAUGUAAAUUUCGAUUCCUUUGUCACAAUAGGUGUAAGGACAUGGUUUUCUCGCAUCAAAAUUGAUCCAGUGCUUUUGGAGUUCUCCCCUGUAGAACUCGAGUGUGUUAUCUCCUUGAAUCGUCUUGAUUGUUGUCAUUUCGAGAUCAUAGAUUUGGACUCGAUCGGCCCUCACACCGAAGGUUGUGACCAAGCUCUUCCACAUGGCCUUGGCCGUCUGAUGUUGGGCAAACUGCAUGACGAGCCGGGGCUCCAUGUUUUGGAUCAGCCAUGAGAACACCGUGUAGUCGGCGGCUUGCCAUUCUUUGAAUUUUGGAUCGUCGGACUUGGGAGGAAUGGCGUCCCCCUCAAGAUGGUCCAGUUUCUCUCAGCUGCCGACGACAACGAGCAUGAGUUUGGACCAAAUAGGGAAGUUUUUCCCAUCGAGUUUGAAUCCUAUUGAAACUGAUUCAAUUGAUUUGGCCAUUUGAAUUGGAUCUCACUUGAUUUUGGUUUGCAGGUUUGAGAUUGGAAAAAAAAGAGCUGUAUAUUGUUGGAUCUUGGCUGGAGGGCUGGAAAGGUACCGAACGAUGAUGAAGAAAAAUUUUGAGUUCGAGAAUAAAAAAAAGAUUAGGACUCCAUAAUUCUCUUCCCAACAUCCUUGGGACACCCAAAUUCUAUUUCCAACAAUUUCAGGUGUAGGAACGAGGCAUUACUAUAGAAAAUUGGGGUACGAGCUUGAAGGUCCGUACAUGGUGAAAUACCUCGAGUGAAAAAACACUAGUGCAAAGCAACACCAGGCUUUUGUUUGUGUUUGAUAUUUAAAUAUAUAUAGAUGGCUUGAUGGAAGAUGUAUUUGUAAGCGAUGAUGCACAAUGGCUCAUGACUAGCUACAGAGAUUCAGAGGCUGACCUUGAUUUAUUUAUUGCUUGGAGAAGAGAAAUGAAACACCACUUCAGACAA